UGGUGGAUUUUGCUCUUGGACCAUAUCUAGCUCUAUCCGUAAUGGCCAAAGUGGUCUACAUCAGUUUCGAGGAUCCUCUUAGGUCAAUAUCUUGGGACUACGAAAUGUUACAUGGCUUACAUAUAAGGAGGAAAAUCAAAUCUAAAAUGGAGAUUAUAAUCUAAAUCUUAGUCCAGUUUUUCUCUUUCUUAAUUAUAAACACAUUAAAAUAAUAGUUGGU
rnacentral:lncRNA from 1 species